UUAUCUCUGUAGAGUCUGCAUAUCAAUAAGCGGAGGAAAAGAAACUAACUAGGAUUCCCUUAGUAACGGCGAGUGAAGCGGGAAGAGCUCAAAUUUGAAAUCUUCAAGGUUUUACCUUGACGAAUUGUAGUUUAAAGAAGUGUUUUCUGUUGGUGUUUUGGUAAAAGUUCUUUGGAAUAGGACAUCAUAGAGGGUGAGAAUCCCGUAUUUGACCAUUACUUCCAGCGUUGUGAUACACUUUCAAAGAGUCGGAUUGUUUGGGAAUGCAGUCCAAAAUGGGUGGUAAAUUUCAUCUAAAGCUAAAUAUAUGGCGAGAAACCGAUAGCGAACAAGUACCGUGAGGGAAAGAUGAAAAGAACUUUGAAAAGAGAGUUAAAGCAGUACGUGAAAUUGUCAAAAGGGAAGCGUUUGACACCAGUGUUGUCUUCUCGAAAAUCAAUUAAAAAAAGUUGGAUUUCGUAUUGUUAAGACCUUAUCAGCUUACUGUACUCUUUUCUUGCUUUUUUUAAUGCACUUUUCGUUUAACAAGUCAACAUCAAUUUCUUUUGUUGUAAAAGAGUCAUUGGAAGGUGGCUUUCACUUCGGUGAAAGUGUUUAUAGCCUUUGGCUUCUGCAAUCGGAGAGAUUGAGGUCUGCAGCGUAGAUCCUUCGGGGCUAGAUACGUAGAUGCUAAGUUAUAGUUUUUUAUAGACAACUUGUUGACUAUAAUUAAUCAUGUAGCUUACUCGUUUGCGCUAUUUUACCUACGCUUAGGAUGUUGACGAUCAGCUGAGCGCG
rnacentral:rRNA from 1 species